GCGUCGGUCGUAUAAUGGUUAUUAUUCCUGCCUUCCAUUCAGGAUACGGAGUAACUCGAUAGCAGGAGACAGGGGUUCGAUUCCCCUCCGACGCA
rfam:Tstilago hordei, Th4857-4, WGS project CAGI01000000 data, contig: THOR_scaffold_5.00045